rnacentral:rRNA from 1 species
AUUGAACGCUGGCGGCAUGCCUUACACAUGCAAGUCGAACGGCAGCGCGGGGGCAACCCUGGCGGCGAGUGGCGAACGGGUGAGUAAUAUAUCGGAACGUACCCAAGAGUGGGGGAUAACGUAGCGAAAGUUACGCUAAUACCGCAUACGAUCUAAGGAUGAAAGCAGGGGACCGCAAGGCCUUGCGCUCCUGGAGCGGCCGAUAUCUGAUUAGCUAGUUGGUGGGGUAAAGGCCUACCAAGGCAUCGAUCAGUAGCUGGUCUGAGAGGACGACCAGCCACACUGGGACUGAGACACGGCCCAGACUCCUACGGGAGGCAGCAGUGGGGAAUAUUGCGCAAUGGGCGAAAGCCUGACGCAGCGACGCCGCGUGGGUGAUGAAGGCC